rnacentral:rRNA from 1 species
UACAGAGGCCCCAAGCAUUAUCCGGAAUCACUGGGCGUAAAGGGUGUGUAGGCGGUUAUGUUAGUCUCUUGUGAAAGAUCCCGGGCUUAACCCGGGAGACGCAGGGGAAACGGUAUGACUUGAGGGUAUGAGAGGUAAAGGGAACUCAUGGUGUAGGGGUGAAAUCCGUUGAUAUCAUGGGGAACACCAAAUGCGAAGGCACUUUACUGGCAUACAUCUGACGCUGAAACACGAAAGCGUGGGCAUCGAAUGGG